rnacentral:rRNA from 1 species
UACGAAGGGGGGCUAGCGUUGUUCGGAAUUACUGGGCGUAAAGCGCACGUAGGCGGGUUGUUAAGUCAGGGGUGAAAUCCUGGAGCUCAACUCCAGAACUGCCUUUGAUACUGGCAACCUAGAGACUGGAAGAGGUUAGUGGAAUUCCCAGUGUAGAGGUGAAAUUCGUAGAUAUUGGGAAGAACACCAGUGGCGAAGGCGGCUAACUGGUCCAGCACUGACGCUGAGGUGCGAAAGCGUGGGAGCAAACAGG